rnacentral:rRNA from 1 species
CCUACGGGACGCAGCAGUGGGGAAUAUUGCACAAUGGGCGCAAGCCUGAUGAAGCCAUGCCGCGUGUAUGAAGAAGGCCUUCGGGUUGUAAAGUACUUUCAGCGGGGAGGAAGGCGAUAAGGUUAAUAACCUUGUCGAUUGACGUUACCAACAGAAGAAGCACCGGCUAACUCCGUGCCAGCAGCCGCGGUAAUACGGAGGGUGCAGGCGUUGAUCGGAAUUACUGGGCGUAAAGCGCACGCAGGCGGUUGAUUAAGUUAGAUGUGAAAUCCCCGGGCUUAACCUGGGAAUGGCAUCUAAGACUGGUCAGCUAGAGUCUUGUAGAGGGGGGUAGAAUUCCAUGUGUAGCGGUGAAAUGCGUAGAGAUGUGGAGGAAUACCGGUGGCGAAGGCGGCCCCCUGGACAAAGACUGACGCUCAGGUGCGAAAGCGUGGGGAGCAAACAGGAUUAGAUACCCUUGUAGUC